CUUCCAGACAUAACUUGUGUGUAAGUGUAUGGAUCUCACAAGGUUCCAUAUCACAAAGGGAAUGCUGGGAUUGAAUUUGGGGGUAAUUGCCUCCAAAUUUUAGGAAUUAGGGGCCAAAAAGGGGCAAAAAACAAGCAUUUUUCUAGUUUCAUGGCAAUAACUUGUGUGUAAGUGUAUGGAUCUUUAUGAAAUUGUACUACAAGGUUCCAUAUCACAAAGGGAAAGCUGGAAUUGAGUUUGGGGGUAAUUGCCCAAAAAGUUGAGGAAUAAGGGGCCAAAAAUAAGCAUUUUUCUAGUUUCCAGACAAUAACUUGUGUUCAAGUGUAUGGAUCUCUCUGAAAUUCUACUGCAAGGUACCAUACCACAAAGGGAAUGCUGAGAUUGAUUUUGGGGGUAAUUGCCUCCAAAUUUUAGGAAUUAGGGGGCAAAAAACAAGCAUUUUUCUAGUUUCAUGACAAUAACUUGUGUGUAAGUCAAUGGAUCUCUCUGACAUUGUAUCACAUGGUUCCAUAUCACAAAGGGAAAGCUGGGAUUGAUUUUGGGGGUAAUUGCCUCCAAA